rnacentral:tRNA from 1 species
AUCCCGGUAGCGUAAUUGGAUAACGCAACCCACUCCUAACGGGUAGAUUAGAGGUUCAAAUCCUCUCCGGGGUA